ensembl:lncRNA
AUUUACCCCUUAUGUAGGCACUUGUGUCUUGCGGGGUUAUUGCCUCAGAGGAUGUCCCCGCAGAGAUGCCUUCGGCCACAGGGCGCCCACUGUUUUGGCUGAGGGCCAACUGCUCAGCCUCUGUGAGUGGUGGUGGUGGAGGACCCCCACCUGUUUUUCGGGCCUCCGCUUUUUUUCUGUUGGCUAUAACGGGUCACCUGUUUGGACUAUAUUUUUAUAUUUCAUUUUUACUUGCUGCCAGGAACGUUUGGGGCCUGUUGGGUUGCACCUGCGCUCACAUCACGUCACAAAAUAAAAUGUAUAAAAUAACAAAUAAAAUAACAUAUGAUAAAAUAACGUGUUAAAUGGGUGGAAAUCCCUAGAUCAAUGUUUAAAUUAACACUCACGCAUUGACUCUGUCGGCUAUGUUUUGCCAUGCAUGCUCACUUUCUUUUGCAGCUGUCGCUGUGUUACUUUUUUCCGCGGAAUUUGCAUGUUAUCGGCAUAUGCUGCCAUCAGAAUUUCGGCCUCAAGCGCUGUAAAAUACAUUGACCGCGCCUUCUUUCCCUCCGUCUCCAUGGUGACUCGCUUAAUCUGUGCUCCACUGAUCAGGGCUUUAUGUAUCCUCGUCCGCGCGCUUCACUUGGGGUUAAAGCAACUCCGCGUUGACUGAACUAAUUGUUAUCAGCCUUUCUGAAACCGAAUAUUCCGAGUUGGACAGUUCGGGGUUACUCAACCCUGAGUAUCAUUUUUCACUCUGAGUUUUCUAAACCGGCUUCCUGAAACAGGGCCCUGGUUUACUUGUGGUUCAUAGCAUAUUUAGACGUAGAAUGGGAGGCAGAGGCAGAGAUCAUGGGGGACUCCCAUGAUCCAUUGAGUGUUUCCACAGCAGUCUUUGUGUUUUCCUUCCCACUGUCACAAAAGUGCUUGUUUAUAGGGGUAAUCUGAUUGUUGUUUUUUCUUUGUUUGUUUUUUCGUAUUUUGUAGGGUACUUACAUUAAAGCUUGAGGCAACUGUUGGUGUGAUUUAGUGCUAUAUAAAUUGAAUUGAAUUGAAUUCAGUCUGGGGCUUUUCUGUGUUGAGUUUGCAUGUUCUCCCCAUGUCUGGUUCUCUUGUGGUAAUCCAGCUUCCUCCCACAGUGCAAAGACAUAUAGUUAAAGGGGUUAGGUUCAUUGGUGAUUCUAAGAUUGAUUAUAGGUGUAAAUGUCAAUGGUCGUCUGUUUCUCUGGGCGAGAAACAGACGACCAGAAGUUAGUCAUUGUGAAAAACUGGCGAACCGUCCGGAGUGUACUCUGUCUCUCGUCCUAUGACAGCUGGAAUAGGCUCCGGAUAGAUCUAUCUGUUUAUA